CUAAAGACAAGUCAGUGUUCAAACACACAAUGCACUGAUUCACCUUCCCUUUCCCAUGGAGAAUUCCCAAAAGUGAAUCUCUCAGUCAGUGUGUGUGAGGCGUCCUAGCAUCACUGCACAGAGCCCAAGUAGGUUAUGUCUGGAGUAAAGCAGGGUUUGCCCUGGGCAUGGCUGGGCAGGUUCAAGGCCAAGACCAGGUGCCUGUGGCUCUGGUGAGGAUGCUGGGUUGUGCAGGUCAUGUGGGAUCCUGUGGGAUCGAGUGUCAGGCCUGGGUUCACACCAGAGUCAGCAACAGUGGAGUCUUGAGUGGCCAGCCUCCUGCUGCCCCUCUGAGGGGAUGCCCCAGAGGGCUAGGGCUCCCCCUAGGCCACCUCUGCAAGGUCCCCAGCAUCAUUUCCCCACCCUGGACCAAGCCUUACAUGUGGACCUUCAGAGACACACACCUAAACCACAGCUGGUGGGAGAGAAGCUCACCAUUGGAAGUCAACAGACCACACAAUCCAUAAGUGCAAUGGAGAAAACAGCUUGAGGACUGAAGAAAUGAAAAGUGCAAGCAAAUAACAUUUAUUAGAUUUUUUUUGAAAUUAACCUGAGCAGAAGGCAGAAAUCAUCAUUCUGAGCAAAGAUCCUGUAUCCAGGGAGAUCAGCAAAGCCAUGACCACCACUCAAAGUGGAGUGGAGCAACUCAACAGGGUGAGAAAAUACCCAAGCAUGAAGCAUCAUACUUGGGCUCCAGAGCUGGUAGGAGCUGAGUCAUGGUGACUGUGCUCCUCCUGGCUCCCUACCCCCAGUGGAAGGCUCAUCAAGGAAGGACCUUGUCUACCCGGUUCAGGCUGCAGUGAGCAAGGCAGUGCUGGCUUCAUGGAGGAUACUAACGGGGAUACCAACUUUAACAUCGAACAUGCUGUGGCAGGCAAUCAGCUGGCAUGACCUCCCACCACUCCCGCCAGUCUAGUUGUGUCUCUGAGUUGACAAGACUACUGUGUUUACCUCUUAUCAUCAGUCUUAUCACCUCAUGUUGCUGUUAUGGAUGUAUCUGCACCUUCUCUAU
rnacentral:lncRNA from 1 species